UGCUCACUUUGGCAGCAGUGUACCCAAGUUGGAACAAUACAGAGAAAAUGUAACUGGCCCCUGUGCAAGGAUGACAUGCAAGUUUGUGAAGCAUUCCAUAUCUUU
ensembl:snRNA U6 U6 spliceosomal RNA